CCACUGGGUCUGGGCUUGUCUGGGCCGCACAGCAAAGUCAGUGUAGGCUUUGGUGGCGGUCAAGUCCUGUGCUGGGGUUAGAGGAGGAGCGAGGAGGAGCCAGGAGAAGGGGAGAGGGGUCCCCCAAGCCCCGCUGCACUGCUGGCCCCUAUAAGGCCUCCGCGAUGGAAGGUCUUUCCUGCAUUCACCGACUGACAUGUCAAGAACCUGAACCGCUGUCACGCGAUCCCAUCCACACAACUCCAGCCGACCUCCACCCACUCCUCCAGCUCCAUGCCCACCAAGUCCAGGAACACCUCCAGGCGGCGCGGAUCCCUCUCCCUACCCCCACCCAAGCCCGGCACGUCCUCCCACCCCGUUGCCAGCCCUCUGCCCACCUAGACCUGCCCCAGUCGCCUGGGGACCCGCCCUCCCCACCAGCUCUGAUGGGUCUCCUAGGGCGGGGGAGG